rnacentral:rRNA from 1 species
GAUGAACGCUGACAGAAUGCUUAACACAUGCAAGUCUACUUGAUCCUUCGGGUGAUGGUGGCGGACGGGUGAGUAACGCGUAAAGAACUUGCCUUGCAGUCUGGGACAACGUCUGGAAACGGACGCUAAUACCGGAUAUUAUGAUUGAAUCGCAUGAUUUGAUUAUGAAAGCUAUAUGCGCUGCGAGAGAGCUUUGCGUCCCAUUAGUUAGUUGGUGAGGUAACGGCUCACCAAGACGAUGAUGGGUAGCCGGCCUGAGAGGGUGAACGGCCACAAGGGGACUGAGAGACGGCCCUUACUCCUACGGGAGGCAGCAGUGGGGAAUAUUGGAUAAUGGACCAAAAGUCUGAUCCAGCAAUUCUGUGUGCACGAUGAAGUUUUUCGGAAUGUAAAGUGCUUUCAGUUGGGAAGAAGAAAGUGACGGUACCAACAGAAGCAGCGACGGCUAAAUACGUGCCAGCAGCCGCCGUAA